UUAACAGUUGCAAACAGUUUACUGAAAACGGCAACAUAGCAGAGCUUUAAAAUGCAAUAUGACCUUUGAUAUGUAGAAAUCUAAAAUGGAAUUAUCAUUGUUAUACUCAGGGACAGUUUUAUCAAUAGUCACAUUUUUAUUCGGAGAGUCAUCAGGCCUAGAAUGCAUAUCAUGUGAAUGGGCUGCGGGGGAAACAACGGAAACUGGAUGUGUAUCUGCACCUUUCAGAGAAAACUCUACGCGAUGUGAACAAACAGUUGGAAACGAAAACUACAUCUGUGAGACAAAAGUGAUGUUCAGAACCGAGUUGGACAAUCAUUACCUUUCAAGUGUGACUAGGAAAUGUGUAUUAGAACAUGGAUAUUGUGACAAUCAUUGCGAUCCUAUGUCUGACAUAGACUGUUUCAUCUGCUGCAAUGCCAACAACAAAUGUAACAGCAUGCCAUUGUCAUCUGAAUUUUUACCUGUUCAUCUUACCUACAAUAUUACAAAUAUGGCAGCAGAUGGUAUAUUUAGAAGUGGAACUUACUUAUUUAGUUUUACCAUUUUUUCUACUGUAAACUUUCUGGUGUUUUAACUUUUUACUAUAAUAAAUGUUUUUAAUCAGUGGUGAAUUCAAAGAAAAAUUCACAUAAUAGCACUUCUAUAGGUAUUUUUACUUUUAAUGUGUUGUUUGGUUGCUGUCUCACUUCUGUAUAUCAUAUAUUGAUUAUACAUAUCUGUUUGUAGAAUUAGAUAGGAAACAAUAUAAUGUACUCCGUAUAAUGUAUCAAAGGUCUUUGUGUUUAUCACUACAUGACCCUACAUGGAACAACUGCAGGUAUUAUGUGAGUGUUGUAACAGUAUACAUAAAUUUUAUUUCUUGAUGUUAAUUAUAGGUUUAAUUGUUUUUUCUCAUUGUUGGUUGUGAUAUUUUUUUUAUUCUGGUUUAAUCAAAAAUAUUUUUAUGAAAUUACUUACCAGUAAAUCUUAAAUAAUCAAAGUAUACAGAUAAAGCUAAUCCCUAUGAGCACUUUUUUUUAAAGAAUGGCAUUUUAUUUUAUCCCCAUAUCUAUCAUAAACAAAUUUACUUAUGGAUUCUGGAUCUUAAGAGGCUUUAUUUUUCAAUCAUUACUCUAUUUCAGAAAUAAUAUAAUACCCCUUGCAUUCUAAGUUGUGUCAAGAUUCCUGAACACUAAAACAAAUGCACUAGCACAAAAUCAAUUAGGAUAUCUAUAUUCCAGAUCAAUAUUCAAUCCAAUAAACUAAUCAAAGUCAGGUAAAGAUAUCAUUUUCUGAAACAAAGCUGAUUGAAUGAGUCUAUCAAUAAAACAUACCUACUUAUUAAAGGACAUUAGAGUACUCUUUAGUGAAUGUUGGACUAUAAAUCAUAUAAAUUUGAUAAAAUUCAACCAGCUGCUGUUAGGUUAAACAUUUACUGAACGCAUUAGCAAUAUGCCCAAUUUAAUACUGUAUGCUACUUCUUAUCAAACAGGGACUUGCAUAUAUAUUUUUAAAGCUACACUUACAUCAUUUGAUUUAAAAAAUAUAUAUUUAUGUAAAAAAUGGUUUUAAAUUAAUGUAAACAUAUCAACUUUGAGUUUAAUUUCUAAUGAAAUGUUGUCUAAAGUGCCAUAUACAUUUUAUGAACUGUAUUGUAUUUUACCAUAUCAAAAUAAAAUUGUUAAUUAUUUUUGUCAUAUUUCUCUUCCAAUGAUCUGUUCUAUAAAUAGGUGGGUCUGAAAACUAUAUAUUACAAUUCAAUAUUAUAUAUAUAUAUACCAAGGAGCUGUUAAAUAUAAUAUCAUAUUCAGAUCUUGUUGUUAAUGUUUCAGAGGACCAAAUGCUAUACAUUUGUUGGCCUUAAAUUUCAUAUUACACAAUAAAAUUACAAACACGUAUACACUGAACUACAACAGAUUCCAAAAAUCAAAAUAAUAGCAUUUACUUAUACCUGAUGAAUUUCAAAUGGAAUGAAAACAACUCAUUUCAAAGCCCUGUUUACAACAAACAGUCAUGCAAUUUCAAAUAACCACAUAACCUCCAUAAAAUUGGGUUGAAACCCUGAAUGAAUAGAAUUAACUCUCUUUUUUAUAGAUUUAUUUGUUUUCUAAAAGUCUUUAUACUAAUUAUGUGGGCAUUGUUAAUUAGUAAGACUGAACAAAUCAUCAGUAAUAGUAUAGUGAGGUUAAAAUAAUGUAGAGGCUCUUAAGAACCUGUGUCGCUCACCUGCAUAUUCAACAAUGGACACUUUUUAGUAAAAAUCAUCAUUAAAGUGGAAUAACUCUAUUAAGAGUUAACAGAUAAUUUCAGUCAUGUUCAUGUAUUUGUAGAUCUUAUCCUGCUGAUCAUUUUUCCUUUUAAAAGUUUCCAUUUAAUUAUUUUAGUUUUCAAGAUAAUAGGCAGAAAAUGCAAAAGAUUUUUAACAAGCAUUCUGAGAGUACUGCAUGGCAAUACAUAGUCCCCUACUGGGUAAAAAUUCAUUUUACUGGAACAAAAUGCUAACUUGUUCUAUAACUUUUCAUGGUGUAAACAAAAAGUAAAUAUCAUGUCAAUAUCUACAAGCAUGACUAAAAACAGUGUGGAAAACUGAUUAUAUGAGUGAAAAAAAACAUUAGAUAUGAUUAAUAGUUCUCUAAAAUUAGAUAUGAUGUAAUACAGUGUAUAUCUAUUUUCAAAUUAUAAUCAAAUAUAAUUAAUAGUUCCAAAUAUUUUUUCUUUCAUUUGUUACAAACUAAUAUAGAUUUGUAACUUAUCUAUAAAAUGUCAACAACUUUUAUCUACACAAUGUAAUGUAUUGAAAUAUAUACAUUAAUAAAAAUAGAUUAUUA